UGUCUAACGGACUUCAUUGAUCGUAAAGUUCAUACGAUCGGCUACGAUCAACGAUCAAUCGUAACUUUACAUUGGUAUUGUCUAAUUUAGUUCAUUAUAUGAAGACCGGAUGGUGAACGAUGAACUGAAAUCAUUCAUGAAGAUUGCGUAUUGUUUAUGCAAAACGAUAGUGAAACUAUCGUUAAUAAUAUUAUCAAAUUUAAGUCAAACUCCAUAAUAAUGCAUAUAUUUUAACAAAGUUUUAUGUCUUUUGUUUAAAACAUUAAAGAAGCAUUAAAUUUCACGACAAAUAUCUACUAUUGAAGACAAUAGCGUGAGAAAAUGGUACAUGCAACUCAAGUAACAAAACGCAAUUAACGAAUUUAACCAAGGGCUAUUUGGACUAUUUGGUAAUCUCCCUGUUGUCUGUGUAGGCUAGUGUCAAAAUAACGGGGUAUCCUAUUAGUCUGUGGUGAAACAUAGCAUAUUAAUAACCUGUGGAUUAGAAAUUUAAAUUUUAUAAACAAAACAAAGUUUUUAUUUUUCAGGUUUUAAAGAGAAUUUAGAAAUUGAGCAAAGUUUUACUAAAUUGUAGUGAUCUUAGGAGCAAAGUUUACUUCGUUUGUGUUAUUGUUAAUCAAAAAUAUAAAAGUAAACAAAAAAGAAAAACUACCUCUAUCUAAUUUUGUCGAUGUCCAUUUCUUAAGAAGUUUCUCAUUAAAACAACCCUUAACUCAGGCAAGGCAGGGCUAAGGUGGUUAGCGUAACUACAAGUGGUUAACUUACAGUUAGCCAACUGAAGAACAAUCAACAAUGCCCGAUUAAUAAGUGAUCGCGCUGCUUGUCUACUACUUGCUGCUUGUCCCUGCACUAGUUAUAGCAGUAAUUUCUUUGUUUGGAAGUAUUUAGCACAUCCGGGCUGCGCAAAAGGAGAGAGUGGGCAUUUCCUCUGUCUCUUAGAAAAGUCCGCAUGUUAUUUUUAUCCCAGUGUUAAUCUCUAAGUCUCGUAUGAAUCGGCACUAAUAUACAUAGGUUUACCUAAGUGUGUGAUUAGUGACUUCACAAACAGACUUAUUAUUAAAGGAUUUGAAAAGUUCUCUAGCUCUUUAGGGUGUUUUAUUCCUUCACCAGCCAACAACAGUGUCAUAAUUACAAUGGGUUCGCAGAGUUAGUUUAUCUAGGCAUUUAGAUAUACCAUUCAAAAUCUUCUACUGAGAGCAAAAUGUUACUGUUAUAUUUUAUUUUUUAUUCUUUACAAUUUAAACUGAAAAUCCACAACCCUUUCAGUUGCUACACGUCAUCACACCGGAAUGCUAAAUUGCUUGGCCGUAAGUCUCAAUUGGUCCAGCCGGGGAUCAAACAAAACUUCGGAACAUUAAUUAUCAUUAACAUCUGAUAGUGGUAUAUUAACACCAUAACUACCAAUCCACAUUGGAGCAGACUAAAUUGAUUAUUAUGAACAGACCAUUAUGAUGAACCACUGAUAUUGACUCAGAGACAUGAAGAUGAGUGCUUUGACAACAAGACUGACUAGCUGAGCCAGCUUAAGAAUUAUGUGGUGUGUGUGUGUGUCUAAUUCCAGGAGCUCUCUAUGUCAGCCAUCCAUCUAUAUUCUUACUCAUUUUUGUUAAUUAUAAAAUAAAUUUGAUUAUUUAGUGUGUAACUUCAUUGUACCUAUCCUGCUAGCUGUUAGAAAGAUAGCAUCUGUAAUAAUUUAUUUACGGUAAAACAUAUUUAAAAAUAAACAUGCUUUAACAUUUAAGUAUGGCCAAUAUGUUGUCAAGUACAUAGGGCAGGGCUGAAUCCAUGAUUGAUGACUGAUCCAUGAUGAUGACUCGUUUUUCUGAUUUAAGAAAAUAUACUAAUCAUCAAAACAGUGUCUGCAAGUACUGUACAGGCUGACUGUUUGGAUGAGAAGUAUAUAUUUGAUUAUUUUUAAGCUUUGUGGUUUCAGGGUUUAAAAAAUGUCUAACUGAAAGUCUAUGUUUACUGUAUUUAUUAUUAUUAUAAUAAAUAAACUUAAAAAAUC